GCUAGUGUGGCAUGGUGGUUUUAGUGUUAGACUCAGACUCUGGAGACCAGGGUUCAAUUCCCCACUCCUCCA